rnacentral:rRNA from 1 species
CGAACGCAGUAGCAAUACUGAGUGGCAGACGGGUGAGUAACAUGUGGGAAUCUGCCUUGUGGUUCAGGACAACAUUGGGAAACUGAUGCUAAUACUGGAUAAGCCCUUACGGGGAAAGUUUUAAUGCCAUAAGAUGAGCCCGCAUUUGAUUAGUUAGUUGGUGAGGUAAUGGCUCACCAAGACAAUGAUCAAUAGCUGAUCUGAGAGGAUGAUCAGCCACACUGGGACUGAGACACGGCCCAGACUCCUACGGGAGGCAGCAGUGGGGAAUCUUGCACAAUGGAGGAAACUCUGAUGCAGCGAUGCCGCGUGAGUGAAGAAGGCCUUUGGGUUGUAAAGCUCUUUUGUAGGGGAAGAUAAUGACUGUACCCUAAGAAUAAGGUCCGGCUAACUUCGUGCCAGCAGCCGCGGUAAUACGAAGGGACCUAGCGUAGUUCGGAAUUACUGGGCGUAAAGCGCGCGUAGGCCGUUGAGUUAGUUAAUUGUGAAAUCCCAAAGCUUAACUUUGGAACUGCAAUUAAAACUGCUCGACUAGAGUUUGAUAGAGGAGAGCGGAAUACAUAGUGUAGAGGUGAAAUUCGUAGAUAUUAUGUAGAACACCAGUUGCGAAGGCGGCUUUCUGGAUCAACAC